rnacentral:tRNA from 1 species
GCUGUGAGUCAGUGGUAGAACAUCUUCUAGGCAUGCAGAAGGUCCCAGGUUCAAACCCCGGCAUCUCCA